rnacentral:rRNA from 3 species
UUGACCUCGGAUCAGGUAGGGAUACCCGCUGAACUUAAGCAUAUCAAUAAGCGGAGGAAAAGAAACCAACAGGGAUUGCCUCAGUAACGGCGAGUGAAGCGG